rnacentral:rRNA from 1 species
AUACGGAGGGUGCAAGCGUUAAUCGGAAUUACUGGGCGUAAAGGGUACGUAGGCGGUUAAAUAAGUUGGAUGUGAAAGCCCCGGGCUCAACCUGGGAACUGCAUUCAAAACUGUUUGACUAGAGUGUAUGAGAGGUUGGCGGAAUUCCAGGUGUAGCAGUGAAAUGCGUAGAUAUCUGGAGGAACAUCAGUGGCGAAGGCGGCCAACUGGCAUAACACUGACGCUGAGGUACGAAAGCGUGGGGAGCGAACGGGAUUAGAAACCCUUGUAGUCC